CCAGAGAUGGCGGGCUUCGGCCCCCGUCCCCAACCCCUUGCCGAUUGAACAAAACCUUUGCCUCGGGGGCAGAGCGGCCGUCCCACGACGGGCGCCGCCCCCGGAGGACCACCAAACGCUGUCUCUGUACGUACGAGUCAAUGAUUAAUAAAUCA
rnacentral:misc_RNA from 1 species